GGCCAUUGCUGUGUAGGCUUGGGCUCUGACCUGGAAGCCGAACUCUGCUGCAGGCACGGAGUCUCCAUGAAGAGCACACGGGGAGAGAAGAUGCUUCACAGGAGCCCUGGAUCUCCCUGGCACAUGGAGUACCUUGGAGGAGUGUAAGGGCAGCCAGGAAAGUUCUGAGAUUGCUACAGGACAAAAUCUUGUGCUUCUGAGCUCUGCAAUGAAGUUUUAAUCACCCCAAUAUACAUCUUUCCACGACAUAUAUUUUUCUGUCCACCAAAGACAUAAUGGCUGCUCCUUUUAUGGGAAACCAGGAUUUAAUCCAGCAAACCAAAUGACAGAAUCUGAGACCAUCCAAUGUCCUGCUCUGCCAAAAACAUCCUGUGGAUAUUUUAAGGCCCACCAAAGGCUCUCCCAAGACUGUUUUCCCCUAUCACACCCAUAAGGUACUGACAGAUCAAUGUGUAUCCACCACUCACAAGAUUUUUGUUUGAAAUUUUGAUUUAUUAAAUUUUGGACUGUAGUAAUUUUGUUUUCUUCGGCAAGGGUCCACUGCUGUAAGAAUCUACCAAGCUACUACACUUGCCCUUCUUCACAUCCUCCCUUAAAACUCUCCUC
rnacentral:lncRNA from 1 species